UCGGGCCACCUGCCGGACGUGCGUGGGUUCAACAGCUAUGGUAGCCACCGAACCCUGCAGAGACUCAGCAGCGGUUUUGAUGACAUUGACCUGCCCUCAGCAGUCAAGUACCUCAUGGCUUCAGACCCCAACCUGCAGGUGCUGGGAGCGGCCUACAUCCAGCAUAAGUGCUACAGCGAUGCAGCCGCCAAGAAGCAGGUGACCGCCCCGACCACCCACUCACUGCCCCCUGGUGACCUCCCUGGUGGGCCCCACCACCUCCCACUGGCUUCUGCUCACUGACCACCCCUCAUGACCCCCAAGCUGACUGGG
rnacentral:sRNA from 1 species